rnacentral:rRNA from 1 species
UACGUAGGGUGCAAGCGUUAAUCGGAAUUACUGGGCGUAAAGCGUGCGCAGGCGGUGAUGUAAGACAGGUGUGAAAUCCCCGGGCUUAACCUGGGAGCUGCAUUUGUGACUGCAUUGCUGGAGUGCGGCAGAGGGGGAUGGAAUUCCGCGUGUAGCAGUGAAAUGCGUAGAUAUGCGGAGGAACACCGAUGGCGAAGGCAAUCCCCUGGGCCUGCACUGACGCUCAUGCACGAAAGCGUGGGAGCAAACAGG